GGACUACCAGGGUUUCUAAUCCUGUUCGCUCCCCACGCUUUCGCUCAUCAGCGUCAGUACCGGCCCAGACCACCGCCUUCGCCACCGGUGUUCCUCCUGAUAUCUGCGCAUUUCACCGCUACACCAGGAAUUCCGUGGUCCCCUACCGGACUCUAGCCAUGGCAGUAUCGAGCGCGAGCUCCAGGUUAAGCCUGGAGGUUUAACACCCGACUUGCCAAGCCGCCUACGAGCUCUUUACGCCCAAUAAUUCCGGACAACGCUCGCCCCCUACGUAUUACCGCGGCUGCUGGCAC
rnacentral:rRNA from 1 species